CUGGGGCUGGCAGAGCCCUGGGCCGGCCGCUUGGUUACUCUGUUUCAUUCCGCAACCCGGUUUUGUAGGUUGUUGACCAAGCAGCCAGAAAACACUGCCCCCUCUCUCUGUUUGAGCGAGGUCAGAGACGUGGUGGGUUUUUUUUCCCUUCCUCCACUACGCCCCCCCCCCGCCCCCCUUUCUCCGAAUCGAGUUCUCAGGCAGCUGCGUACAAUGCUGGGAGCUAGCCAGCAGCAGAGACAGAUGGCAGAGUUAUUAGAUGUGCAUCGUACGAUUCCCUUCCUGCCACUCGCUUUUUAAUCAAAUUAAAACAAAAAAGAAAGAGAGGGAGAGAGAGAGAGGGGGAGUCAAUUAACCGCAUUUGUAUUCUGCUCAAUAAUGGACCCUGUUCCACUUUUACCCUAAGGCAGUUGAGUGGAAAUUUUAGAGAAGAAAAGGGGUGCCUAAAACAAAAAAC
rnacentral:lncRNA from 1 species